AGGAAAAAGAAACCAACAGGGAUUGCCUUAGUAGCGGCGAGUGAAGCGGCAAAAGCUCAAAUUUGAAAUCUGGCUCUUUCAGAGUCCGAGUUGUAAUUUGAAGAAGGUAUCUUUGGGUCUGGCUCUUGUCUAUGUUUCUUGGAACAGAACGUCACAGAGGGUGAGAAUCCCGUGCGAUGAGAUGAUCCAGGCCUAUGUAAAGUUCCUUCGAAGAGUCGAGUUGUUUGGGAAUGCAGCUCUAAGUGGGUGGUAAAUUCCAUCUAAAGCUAAAUAUUGGCGAGAGACCGAUAGCGAACAAGUACAGUGAUGGAAAGAUGAAAAGAACUUUGAAAAGAGAGUGAAAAAGUACGUGAAAUUGUUGAAAGGGAAGGGCUUGAGAUCAGACUUGGUAUUUUGUAUGUUACUUCUUCGGGGGUGGCCUCUACAGUUUAUCGGGCCAGCAUCAGUUUGGGCGGUAGGAGAAUUGCGUUGGAAUGUGGCACGGCUUCGGUUGUGUGUUAUAGCCUUCGUCGAUACUGCCAGCCUAGACUGAGGACUGCGGUUUAUACCUAGGAUGUUGGCAUAAUGAUCUUAAGUCGCCCGUCUUGA
rnacentral:rRNA from 1 species